GAAAGUGGGACUAAAGCAAAUGAGAUGGAGAAGGGGCCUAGCAGCACAUGUGCUAUCCUUGUACAGUUGUAGGAGAACGAGCAAAGGGCAGCAUGGUGGUUGAACUAAAAAUCAGGCUGGCCUGCUUAUCAGGUUGCAACUUAACAAACUUUGAAUGUCUACAAAUCUCUGGCUGUCCCCAUUUAUAGAAGCGAUGCGAGAAGAAGAAAGGUGACGAUUGGCACAAGAUAGUACACAUCCCAGAUAUUCAGAUUGGAUAGCCAUCCAAUUAUAGCUUGAAUUUUUUUGAAGAAUGAACCGAGCUAUAAACUGGGCAUGCAGCUUAGGGGCGGGGAAAGGAGGAGAGCUCAGG